GUCUGGAGAUGGCUUCCCCGUAGAUGUAGGAUUUUCUACCUAGGGUUGGAGCUUGAUUUGCUCAGUUUGUCCGUGAAUAUCAGAGAUGGAAGCCUUGCGAGUUUAUCCUCGUAUUUCAUUCGACAUUCGUUCACCGUAUCAGUAUUUUUCGGUUGCCAGAUGCAGUUAUGAGGGGUUCUGACAUGAAGUCAAAUUUAUUGUAAC
rnacentral:lncRNA from 1 species